UGGGGAAUAUUGCACAAUGGGCGAAAGCCUGAUGCAGCAACGCCGCGUGAGUGAUGAAGGCCUUCGGGUUGUAAAGCUCUGUCUUUUGGGACGAUAAUGACGGUACCAAAGGAGGAAGCCACGGCUAACUACGUGCCAGCAGCCGCGGUAAUACGUAGGUGGCAAGCGUUGUCCGGAUUUACUGGGCGUAAAGGAUGCGUAGGCGGAUUUUUAAGUGAGAUGUGAAAAUACCCGGUCAGUCAUACUUGGGGGACUGCAUUUCAUACUGGAAAUCUAGAGUGCGGGAGAGGAGAAUGGAAUUCCUAGUGUAGCGGUGAAAUGCGUAGAGAUUAGGAAGAACACCAGUGGCGAAGGCGAUUCUCUGGACCGUAACUGACGCUGAGGCAUGAAAGCGUGGGUAGCAAACAGGAUUAGAUACCCUGGUAGUCCACGCCGUAAACGAUGAGUACUAGGUGUAGGAGGUAUCGACCCCUUCUGUGCCGCAGUUAACACAAUAAGUACUCCGCCUGGGAAGUACGAUCGCAAGAUUAAAAACUCAAAGGAAUUGACGGGGGUCAUAGCUG
rnacentral:rRNA from 1 species